CGAGCACAUUUAAGUGCACACCAGUUGAGCUGCAGAAGUUUGUGACUUUUAGCCAAUUGAAGGAAAGUACUGAAGACUUAAUGGAGGAAAUUAUUUGUGGGCAGCCCAUGGCCAGGAAAGGAAUUGGGCUAGUAACCAGAAGGCCACUGGUUUAAUCCCAGGACGGCGCUGGGGCACACAAUACCCCAUUGCUCCCUGGGUGCAGAUAAGUACUUACAGGGAGGCGAAACUGACGGGGGGAAGGGACAUUUCCUGGACAUCACUUACCGCUCUGAGUUGCUCCAAUCGGUCCUU